UACGUAGGGGGCAAGCGUUACCCGGAUUUACUGGGCGUAAAGCGCGUGUAGGCGGCUGGCCAAGUGUGGUGUGAAAUCCCCCGGCUCAACCGGGGAACUGCAUUGCAAACUGGUCUGGCUAGAGUGCAGGAGAGGGAAGUGGAAUUCCCGGUGUAGCGGUGAAAUGCGUAGAGAUCAGGAGGAACACCGAUGGCGAAAGCAGGUACCUGGACCAUUACUGACACUCAGCUGCGAAAGCUAGGGGAGCAAACAGG
rnacentral:rRNA from 1 species